CUUGUCUUGAGACCAAAUAUUCUUGCUUGUUGUAGUACAAUGGUUCUACCCUUAUUUAUAUUUUUCAACUGUAUUUAGCAGUGCUAAUUUGACAUUUCUUAUUCAUUCACUUGCCCCUUUUUUGCAAUAGGCACUUGAUGAUAAUGUCAAGUUAAAGCUCUCUCCGUUUUGCCAUGUUCCGGCCGAAAAUACUGUCACUCUCUAUGACGUUCCAAAUAUUUGGCACAUUCCUUUACUACUAAGAUAAUCUUGAAGAACAAACUUCAACAAAAAGCGGCUUCUUCAAUAGACUGGCAC